rnacentral:lncRNA from 1 species
UUUGGUGGUGGUGGGGAAUGGUAGUAAGGUUUAGGGCUUAACAUGCACUGGUGGUGGAGGAGAAGAAUAUUUGUAUGGUUUCUUUGGGGGUGGUGGAGAAUGGUAGUAAGGUUUAGGGUGGACAUAUGGUGGAGGAGGAGAAGAAUACUUGUAAGGUUUCUUUGGUGGUGGUGGUGGUGAACUGUAAUGGUAGGGAGGAGGAGGUGUAUAAACGGUGGGGGUGGAGAGUGGUAGUAGUAUGGUUUCUUAGGUGGUGAGUACACUGGUGGUGGUGGUGAAGAGUAAUGGUAAGGUGGUUUAACUGGAGGGUACACCCCCGGUGGUGGGGAAUGUGGAGGGUACACCUUAGGUGGUGGUGGAGAACUAUAAUGGUAAGGUGGUGAGACUGGUGGAUACACCUCAGGUGGUGGUGAAUGUGGAGGGUAUUUCUUAGGUGGUGGUGGGGAAGAGUAAUGGUAAGGUGGUUUAACUGGUGGGUACACCUUGGGUGGUGGUGAAUGUGGAGGGUACACCUUAGGAGGUGGUGGUGAAGAGUAAUGGUAAGGUGGUGAAACUGGAGGAUACACCUUAGGUGGUGGUGAAUGAGGAGGAUACUUCUUAGGUGGUGGUGGUGAAGAGUAAUGGUAAGGUGGUGAAACUGGAGGGUACACCUUAGGUGGUGGUGAAUGUGGAGGGUACACCUUAGGUGGUGGUGGUGAAGGGUAGUGGUAAGGUGGGGAAACUGGAGGGUAGACCUUAGAAGGUGGAGGAGGUGAAGAAUACAAGUAGCUGUUUGCUGAAAUUUGAGAU